GGUUGAUGGUUGUUGCACAAGAGGGAAAGGAAUAUAAGACACAGACUGUAAUGGUAGUAAACAGUUGAUAAAACAGUAGCAAGAAUUGCAGAAGAUAAUAAGAGGAAAUUAUGACAUUACUAUGUAUGGAUAAUUCUUGCAGUAUAUUAAGAAAGUUCUGGAAGAAAAACAAGUAUUCAGAGAGAGAAGGAAAUCAGAAUCGGUUCCAGGGGGAGAGAAGAAUCAUCAUUACAUUCAUAUCCUACUUCACCUUACAUUCCUCUAUUUAUUACCCCACCACAUAUUCCC
rnacentral:lncRNA from 1 species